rnacentral:rRNA from 1 species
GGCCAGACUCCUACGGGAGGCAGCAGUGGGGAAUAUUGCACAAUGGGGGAAACCCUGAUGCAGCGACGCCGCGUGAGUGAAGAAGUAUUUCGGUAUGUAAAGCUCUAUCAGCAGGAAAGAAAAUGACGGUACCUGACUAAGAAGCCCCGGCUAACUACGUGCCAGCAGCCGCGGUAAUACGUAGGGGGCAAGCGUUAUCCGGAUUUACUGGGUGUAAAGGGAGCGUAGACGGUGAAGCAAGUCUGAAGUGAAAGGCGGGGGCUCAACCCCCGGACUGCUUUGGAAACUGUUGGUCUUGAGUAUCGGAGAGGCAGGCGGAAUUCCUAGUGUAGCGGUGAAAUGCGUAGAUAUUAGGAGGAACACCAGUGGCGAAGGCGGCCUGCUGGACGACAACUGACGGUGAGGCGCGAAAGCGUGGGGAGCAAACAGGAUUAGAUACCCCAGUAAAA